rnacentral:rRNA from 1 species
GUCAAUGCUCGMAAGAGUGAACUAGCUAACUGAAAUCACAUAAUCCACUACGUGUGGUGAAUGUAAUAACGUAAGGGAAAAAAAUGAUAUUACCUUACUAUUAGUGUUGUCCAAAACUGGUGCCAGAAGACUCGGUAAGGCCAGAGACGCAAACGUUAGUCGUCCUAAUCAGGCGUAAAGGGUAUGUAGGCGGUUUUAAAAAUUUUAUAUUAAAAGCUAAUGGAUAAAAAUAUUUAUUUUAAAUAAAAAAAUUUAUACCUAAAAAUAUAAAAUGAAUUAAAGCUAGGAUCAAAUGGAGGAUAAGUCAAAUAAUACCUAGUGUAGGGUUUAAAUCUGUUGAUGUUAGGUAGAGUACUAAUGGUGAAAGCUUUUUAUCUAGAAAUGAUUGACGCUGAGAAACGAAGGUGAGAAUAGGAAAUAGGAUUAGAUACCCAGAUACCUCUCACAGUCAACGAUGAAUGGUGGUUGUUAGUUAGUUUUAUUUAACUGAUAACGAUGUUAACACGAUAACCAUUCCGCCUUGCGAGUACGGUUGCAAAACUGAAACCAAAAAAAUUAGUCGGUCUCGAAGCAAACGAA